GCUAUUUCCGAUUCGUGCUGGAUGAGAACCUGCUGCAGGUUCGACAAAAUCGUCGGGAACGAUUUUGCAUCGCCGCCUGUGGCGACCCGCAGGGCGAGNNGUGAUAUCCUGCACGACCCACCA
rnacentral:sRNA from 1 species